UACGUAGGGUGCAAGCGUUGUCCGGAAUUAUUGGGCGUAAAAGAGCUCGUAGGCGGUUUUGUUGCGUCGGCUGUGAAAUCCCGAGGCUCAACCUCGGGUCUGCAGUCGAUACGAGCAAACUAGAGUGUUGCAGGGGAGACUGGAAUUCCUGGUGUAGCGGUGAAAUGCGCAGAUAUCAGGAGGAACACCGGUGGCGAAGGCGGCUCACUGGACCGGUUCUGACGCUGAGGCGCGAAAGCGUGGGGAGCAAACGGG
rnacentral:rRNA from 1 species